rnacentral:rRNA from 1 species
UACAGAGGGGGCAAGCGUUGUUCGGAAUUACUGGGCGUAAAGGGCGCGUAGGCGGCCGCCUAAGUCAGACGUGAAAUCCCGAGGCUCAACCUCGGAACUGCCUUCGAUACUGGAAGUCUUGAGUCCGGGAGAGGUGAGUGGAACUCCGAGUGUAGAGGUGAAAUUCGUAGAUAUUCGGAAGAACACCAGUGGCGAAGGCGGCUCACUGGUCCGGUACUGACGCUGAGGUGCGAAAGCGUGGGGAGCAAACAGG